GCCCGCGUGGCACAAUGGUACUGCGCUGGUCUUGAGAACCAGUUUCCUUCGGGAUCUCCCGGUUCGAUUCCGGGCGCGGGCG
rnacentral:tRNA from 1 species